UAGGCCAAAGUCUCCUCUUACUUUCAUUUUCCUUUUUCUCGGUCGCCAAAACCAACUUCCUUUUAUAUUUACUAAUACUUAAUGUGAUGCACCCAUGAUGGUUGACAUCUGGGACAAGGCAAAUAGUGAGGAGAGUCUUCAGUUUCUGAUAUCGAAUCACAGGAGUGUCUGAGGAACCCCUGCGCGAGAUGACCCUGAAACACCAGCAUCUGCUAAGGAUUUGUUUCUAUACCGAGCAACCAGUGCAUAACUUGCAGAUUUGAUGAGCUAUUAUCCUCCCUGAUAUUCUGGAUUUUUCUUGGAGGAUGUUCAGUUUAGCUUUGUGGGACGUUUCCACAUCUCUCAAAAUGGUUGUUGUAGAUAAUGUCCUACAACUUGCGGCCGAUCAACAACGCUGCACUUCACCACUUCACCAGCUCACUUCACCGCCGUCGGUUCCCAAUAACACCCCCUCCCUAUCUUGUCCUUGCUUCCACAUCUGCCUUUCUUUCUUCUCUGUGGAAGCACAGAUCAACAAGCAGAGUGUUUUGAGCUUUCAAGUACCCCCCUCAUCAACGACAAGAUGUCUUCAGUUCCUGGC
rnacentral:sRNA from 2 species